rnacentral:rRNA from 1 species
AUGAACGCUAGCGACAGGCUUAACACAUGCAAGUCGAGGGGCAGCACAGGUAGCAAUACCGGGUGGCGACCGGCGCACGGGUGAGUAACGCGUAUGCAACUUACCUAUCAGAGGGGGAUAACCCGGCGAAAGUCGGACUAAUACCGCAUGAAGCAGGGGCCCCGCAUGGGGAUAUUUGCUAAAGAUUCAUCGCUGAUAGAUAGGCAUGCGUUCCAUUAGGCAGUUGGCGGGGUAACGGCCCACCAAGCCGACGAUGGAUAGGGGUUCUGAGAGGAAGGUCCCCCACAUUGGUACUGAGACACGGACCAAACUCCUACGGGAGGCAGCAGUGAGGAAUAUUGGUCAAUGGCCGAGAGGCUGAACCAGCCAAGUCGCGUGAGGGAUGAAGGUUCUAUGGAUCGUAAACCUCUUUUAUAAGGGAAUAAAGUGCGGGACGUGUCCCGUUUUGUAUGUACCUUAUGAAUAAGGAUCGGCUAACUCCGUGCCAGCAGCCGCGGUAAUACGGAGGAUCCGAGCGUUAUCCGGAUUUAUUGGGUUUAAAGGGUGCGUAGGCGGCCUUUUAAGUCAGCGGUGAAAGUCUGUGGCUCAACCAUAGAAUUGCCGUUGAAACUGGGGGGCUUGAGUAUGUUUGAGGCAGGCGGAAUGCGUGGUGUAGCGGUGAAAUGCAUAGAUAUCACGCAGAACCCCGAUUGCGAAGGCAGCCUGCCAAGCCAUGACUGACGCUGAUGCACGAAAGCGUGGGGAUCAAACAGGAUUAGAUACCCUGGUAGUCCACGCAGUAAACGAUGAUCACUAGCUGUUUGCGAUACACUGUAAGCGGCACAGCGAAAGCGUUAAGUGAUCCACCUGGGGAGUACGCCGGCAACGGUGAAACUCAAAGGAAUUGACGGGGGCCCGCACAAGCGGAGGAACAUGUGGUUUAAUUCGAUGAUACGCGAGGAACCUUACCCGGGUUUGAACGCAUUCGGACCGAGGUGGAAACACCUUUUCUAGCAAUAGCCGUUUGCGAGGUGCUGCAUGGUUGUCGUCAGCUCGUGCCGUGAGGUGUCGGCUUAAGUGCCAUAACGAGCGCAACCCUUGCCACUAGUUACUAACAGGUAAAGCUGAGGACUCUGGUGGGACUGCCAGCGUAAGCUGCGAGGAAGGCGGGGAUGACGUCAAAUCAGCACGGCCCUUACAUCCGGGGCGACACACGUGUUACAAUGGCGUGGACAAAGGGAAGCCACCUGGCGACAGGGAGCGAAUCCCCAAACCACGUCUCAGUUCGGAUCGGAGUCUGCAACCCGACUCCGUGAAGCUGGAUUCGCUAGUAAUCGCGCAUCAGCCAUGGCGCGGUGAAUACGUUCCCGGGCCUUGUACACACCGCCCGUCAAGCCAUGGGAGCCGGGGGUACCUGAAGUCCGUAACCGCGAGGAUCGGCCUAGGGUAAAACUGGUGACUGGGGCU